rnacentral:rRNA from 1 species
GGUCAAGCUACAAAGGGCAAACGGUGGAUGCCUUGGCGUCGGGAGGCGAUGAAGGACGUGGCUAGCUGCGAUAAGCCUCGGGGAGCCGCUCAACAGGCUUUGAUCCGGGGAUUUCCGAAUGGGGCAACCCGCUCCGAUUAAUAUCGGGGCAUCUGUGGCUGAAUACAUAGGCCAUAGAGGCGAACGAGGGGAACUGAAACAUCUUAGUACCCUCAGGAAAAGAAAGCAAUAGCGAUUCCCUUAGUAGUGGCGAGCGAAACGGGAACAGCCUAAACCGUAGUUGCUUCGGCAAGUACGGGGUUGCGGGACCACAAUGUGGGAUGCGGAUAGUUAGUUGAACAGGCUGGAAAGCCUGGCCAUAGAGAGUGAUAGCCUCGUAAGCAAAAACUUGAAGCACCCUAGUGGUAUCCCAAGUACCACGGGACACGGGAAAUCCUGUGGGAAUCCGGGAGGACCAUCUUCCAAGGCUAAAUACUACCUGACGACCGAUAGUGCACUAGUACCGUGAGGGAAAGGCGAAAAGAACCCCGGGAGGGGAGUGAAAUAGAACCUGAAACCGUUUGCUUACAAGCAGUGGGAGUCCACUUCAAGUGGAUGACUGCGUGCCUUUUGUAUAAUGAGUCAGCGAGUUACUCUGUGUGGCGAGGUUAAGCCGUGAGGCGGAGCCGUAGCGAAAGCGAGUCUGAAAUGGGCGUAUUAGUCGCAUGGAGUAGACCCGAAGCCGAGUGAUCUAUCCAUGGGCAGGGUGAAGUCUCGGUAACACGAGAUGGAGGCCCGAACCAGUGUAGGUUGAAAACUGCUUGGAUGACCUGUGGAUAGGAGUGAAAGGCUAAUCAAACUCGGUGAUAGCUGGUUCUCCCCGAAAUAUAUUUAGGUAUAGCCUUGCAAGUUAAGUAACGGAGGUAGAGCACUGGAUGGGCUAGGGGUCUUACCGGACUACCAAACCUAACCAAACUCCGAAUGCCGUUAACUUUAAUUGCAGGAGUCAGACUACGGGUGAUAAGAUUCGUGGUCGAGAGGGAAACAACCCAGAUCGCCAGCUAAGGUCCCCAAAUAUGUGCUAAGUGGGAAAGGAUGUGGGAAUGCACAGACAACCAGGAGGUUGGCUUAGAAGCAGCCAUCCUUUAAAGAAAGCGUAAUAGCUCACUGGUCGAGUGAUCCUGCGCCGAAAAUUUAACGGGGCUCAAGCACAUUACCGAAGCUGCGGGAAUCGUUGGUCUGCGGACCGGCGGUUCGGUAGGGGAGCAUUCUGUUAACCUGUGAAGGUGCGCCGUGAGGCGUGCUGGAGGAGCCAGAAGAGAGUAUGCUGACACGAGUAGCGAAAAUGUGGGUGAGAAACCCACACGCCGUAAGCCUAAGGUUUCCUGGGUAAAGUUAAUCUGCUCAGGGUUAGUCGAUCCCUAAGGCGAGGCCGAAAGGCGUAGUCGAUGGAAAACAGGUUAAUAUUCCUGUACCACCCCGUUGUCGUUUGAGAAAAGGGGGGACGCAGGAGGGCAGGUCAUCCGUCUGCUGGAAUAG